UCCAAAUGUUUCUUCAUUUUCCUAUCUUUAUGUUGUGAAGUUGCACAAUUUUUAACUGGAAUAUCGAUGUCAAGUUCUUUCGCACCUGCUAAGUGGAUUUUCUAUCGGUUUGCAGAGGGCUGCUCAGAUUUCAACGAGAGAGAAUGCACGUUUGCAGAGGGACACACAACUUUAGAGGAGCCUACAGAAGCAGGGUUGCAGGUAAUACUUGGCUAUUAGGGACAUAGCUUAUCUGUGCAUGCUGGUUUCAAGUGGAAGAUCAUGGAAGAUUUUAGGGCAUUAGGUGGAGCGUCCGCCCUAAUAAAAAAAUGCCUAAACCUAUCCAGAAUGCAACGGUGGUAUGUAGAGAUUGCACUCGUUACGAGGGAGGCACGAAAUUUGCUCCCAUUUGAUGAUGGAUUCAGCUACGAGUACUUAAAGGAUAGGCAUUUCAAAACGCGAAUUUGCGAAAUUGGGGUUUCAACGAAGCUUAGGGUUUCGGGGUCUUGGUACCUUUUUGUGCAUGGUCUUCCAUGCACAUUUCUAUCUAUAAAUAUACAGUCUUUUAUUAGAGACUUACAUUAAGGACUCCAAACAGAAAACCCAUCUGUUCAAUGCCAUUGAACUAUUCCUUGCAUGACAAGGAAAGCAGAUUGGGCUCUUUGAUAGAUUGAGAGCUUUAAAAGUUUUUCUGAAAGGAUUCUAGAAUUUGUUUGUGUGGAGCGUAUUUUUUCCUGUGGCAGGUGGGUUUCCUGUGGCAGGUGGGUUUGUUGACUCUUUUCAUUUUGUAAUGUCUCUGUUUUUGUUUUAAAUUUCUUGGUAGUGUUACAUUUAUCAGGUUUGUUUUGUAGCUUUUGUGUAAUAUUUUUGUUGAAAAAGAGAGGGUUAAUGCCAGGCUUAAAUUUUUUAAAUGACACUAAAGUGCUUAGGCAAAGUUUACAAUCAAAAAACAAAAUCUUCUUGUACUUGACCUCAGCUUGAUUUAUGUCCUCGUUCUUUGGCAGUUGCUUCCUCAAAGUUCUAUGUAGAGCAUUGCUUCUCUAAAAUUUACAGUUUUGUACUUAGUUGUGCCUAGUUUCUUUUCCAAGUCCAAGGCUGAGUCCAAAAUGUGCCCAGCUAGUAAGAGGUGAGUUCAAGUUUCAGUGUAGUAUGAGGUGAGUUCAAGUUCAGUGUUAAUAUGGCUCAAAUUUAAAAAUUAAAAUAAAAAGGUAGCAAACAUUAAAAAUAUUGAAAGUAACGAUGUUGUAUGAUGUUCACUUUAUUAACUGCAAGAAAAUUCAAAUUCUCGGAUCCAUUUUUUAAUAUGCCCAGUGCCAUAUUUAUGUGUAAAACUAUACUACAGUACCAUGAUUUUGAAGCUUGGAUGCUGAGAAAUCCUCUAGCAGUGCGUAGGCACUGGUUAUUCUCAUUUGAGGUGAAUUAUACUAGUUAUCAGUAGAUUACUUUAGGAGUAGAUGGAUUGGCAAGUUUUGGUCACGAGAUGCAAAACCAUAAUUUACAAAAAUUGAGCAAGGAUAUGGAAAAAGAAAUCUCCUAGUUGGUUUUUAGGUUGUGUAGGUGGGUCUGAUAUGCACUUCCGUGUGAUCUCGUGGGAUCGAAUAUACUGAAUUUAUUGUUGAUCGAUUAUUGGCAUGUGCUCUAUAGUGCAACCAUUUUCCCAUGUACCGUGUAUUGUGUAUAACUUCUGCAUAAAGGAAUGUUAUUUUUGGAUGUUAAUGUUAUGAAACAUUUUGUCCAUUCUCACGUUGCACUAGGGUAUAAAAAGGUUUAUAAUGUGCAAAAUCCAUUCAAUUGGAUGGAGUUGAUUUUUGUCCAGUAAGUAUCUGGAGCAUCUAAGUUUCAGUUUUUAAUUGUGUUUGGUUUAUAAUUGUAGUCUGCUUUGGAUUUGUUAUAUGCUUUUGCAGUGGAAAGACCAACUUCUUUGAAAAAAGGGUUGGUGAAUACUAGAAGGCUUCUGUUAUGUCGAGCUUGACCAACACUCAAGGACAUCAUGUAUUUAGAUUGGGUUAUAUAUGAAAAUAGCAGGUCAAACCACUGGGGUAACAAAACUGAAAAGGAAAAUGGCUAACUAAAAUUUUGUCAUUCCCAUAAAUGCAUCGUGGAAACAAGGCAAAGCAUGUUCUGUAGUAUUUACUCCAACUAUCUUCUUCUUCAUAGUUCUUUACAUGUACGUUCUUCACAUAUACAAGCUUCGGUGUAGUAGCAAAAUCAUUUUUAGGUUCUGGCUCAGCAUCCUCCACUUCCAAAUGUAUAAGCAGUUCACUCCAACUAUCUUCUUCUUCAUAGUUCUUCACAUUUGCGUUCUUCACAUAUACAAGCUUAGGUCUAGUAGUAAAAUCAUUUUUAGGUUCUAGCUCAGCUUCCUCUACUUCCAAAAGUAUAAGCAGCUCAGCUGAACCCACCUACUUCUAAGUUGAUUUCUCUCUUUCAGUUUCCUUUAUAUUAAUUCGUUAUUUCCACCAAUAGCAAACCAGCUGUCCUACGAUGAUUUUUAGAAGGCACAUGAUUAAAUGGAGCAUCAACAUAAAUCACCUGUCCAUCUAUUUCUUGUUUUCAUGCAAAGACAAGGUGUUGUUGGAGAUAAAUAAAAUAGUUUGAGGGCCCAUAGCAUGUGCUAUUAUGGCCACAUUUAGAUGGGCAAUAGACUUUCCAGGGUCUCAUUGCCUCCAACGCAUUGCACACUUCCAAGGGAGGACCCAUAUGUUCAAACUGUUUGGUUGAACAUAUGAUACAGACACCAAUAUUUUGUAUGAUAGUCUACUACUACAGUCUUCUUUUCUCUUUUAUGUACUUGGUCCUUUACAAUUCAGAGGAUUUUGAACAUUGCAAGUAUCUUUUUAAUAUCAAUAUAUCCUGCCUAUACAACUUUCUAUUAACAUAUAGCUUCAAAUCUAAGAUUUGUGGGAAUGACACAAGUUUAAUUUUUUUGGUUCCAACAGUCUCAGUACUGAUAAAGCACUUCAAUUUGGAUUGAGAGGA